CACAGCUGCUUGUUUUGUUGACUCCCAUCUAUUAAGUUUGACAUCAAACUGUGUCUUCAACACAUACCUUAGCAACUGAUCUUUGAACUCAUCACCAUUAUUGAAAGUUUUCAUUAGCCACAGAUAUGGAGGCUUAUCAUAGUCUGCACGGCUUCUCUGUGAGGUUGCGUUCUUUUUUCUUCUUGUUUUUCUUUCUUCUUUGUGAAAAUUUGCCCAUUCUUCAUCUGUAUCAACUGGAGAAUCAGGAUACUCAUCUCCUCUAACAGGCUUCUCAUUUCACUUUCUUGAGCAGGAGCAAGGUUUGGUUGUGUACACUCGGUCUGUGCAGCCUGUGAAAACAGAUUUUGGAAUCGAACAUCUUCAGCUCCUUGACCCAAAAUAUUUUCUUCAUCCUCCGACUGAUGACCAUUUGCAGCUUUUUCCUGUUCUUCUCUAAUUUCAUUCUCAUUCAUUUCUUCUUCAUCACUGAUCUCCUCUCUAUUUUCAUCGUCACUCUUCUCAUCCUCACUCUUCUCUUCAUCUUCACUCUUCUCUUCAUCCACAUUCUGACCAUAGACAAUGUACAAAUCAACUUCACCACCAGCUUCAGUUUCUUUACACAACUUCCUAAUCUCGGCAUCUUUGUCUUUGUAUAUCGAUCUAGCCA
rnacentral:lncRNA from 1 species